GACGAGGGGUCCAAGCGUUGUUCGGAAUCAUUGGGCGUAAAGCGGGUGUAGGCGGCCUUAUAAGUCAGAAGUGAAAGCCCUGGGCUCAACCCGGGAAGUGCUUUUGAUACUGCAAGGCUUGAAUGUGGGAGAGGGUAGUGGAAUUCCUGGUGUAGUGGUGAAAUGCGUAGAUAUACUGGAGGAACACCGGUGGCGAAGGCGGCAUCCUGGACCGAGAUUGACGCUGAGGCGCGAAAGCCAGGGGAGCAAACGGG
rnacentral:rRNA from 1 species